rnacentral:rRNA from 1 species
UACGAAGGGGGCUAGCGUUGUUCGGAAUCACUGGGCGUAAAGCGUACGUAGGCGGGCAAUUAAGUCAGGGGUGAAAGCCUUGAGCUCAACUCAAGAACUGCCUUUGAUACUGGUUGCCUGGAGUCCGGGAGAGGUGAGUGGAACUGCUAGUGUAGAGGUGAAAUUCGUAGAUAUUAGCAAGAACACCAGUGGCGAAGGCGGCUCACUGGCCCGGUACUGACGCUGAGGUACGAAAGCGUGGGGAGCAAACAGGAUUAGAUACCCUGGUAGUCCACGCCGUAAACGAUGGAAGCCAGCCGUUGGCCAGCAUGCUGGUCGGUGGCGCAGCUAACGCAUUAAGCUUCCCGCCUGGGGAGUACGGUCGCAAGAUUAAA